rnacentral:rRNA from 1 species
AGUGAACGCUGGCGGUAGGCCUAACACAUGCAAGUCGAACGGCAGCACAGUAAGAGCUUGCUCUUACGGGUGGCGAGUGGCGGACGGGUGAGGAAUACAUCGGAAUCUACUUUUUCGUGGGGGAUAACGUAGGGAAACUUACGCUAAUACCGCAUACGACCUACGGGUGAAAGCAGGGGAUCUUCGGACCUUGCGCGAUUGAAUGAGCCGAUGUCGGAUUAGCUAGUUGGCGGGGUAAAGGCCCACCAAGGCGACGAUCCGUAGCUGGUCUGAGAGGAUGAUCAGCCACACUGGAACUGAGACACGGUCCAGACUCCUACGGGAGGCAGCAGUGGGGAAUAUUGGACAAUGGGCGCAAGCCGGAUCCAGCCAUACCGCGUGAGUGAAGAAGGCCUUCGGGUUGUAAAGCCCUUUUGUUGGGAAAGAAAAGCAGCAGGUUAAUACCCCGCUGUUCUGACGGUACCCAAAGAAUAAGCACCGGCUAACUUCGUG